rnacentral:rRNA from 1 species
CCUGACGCAGCGACGCCGCGUGAGUGAGGAAGGCCUUCGGGUCGUAAAGCUCUGUCAAGAGGAAAGAAGUGCAUAAUGGUUAAUACCUGUUAUGUUUGACGGUACCUCUAAAGGAAGCACCGGCUAACUCCGUGCCAGCAGCCGCGGUAAUACGGAGGGUGCAAGCGUUGUUCGGAAUCACUGGGCGUAAAGGGCGCGCAGGCGGUAUGGUAAGUCAGAUGUGAAAGCCCACGGCUUAACCGUGGAAGGGCAUUUGAAACUGCCAGACUUGAGUACCAGAGGGGAAAGUGGAAUUCCCGGUGUAGAGGUGAAAUUCGUAGAUAUCGGGAGGAAUACCGGUGGUGAAGGCGACUUUCUGGCUGAGUACUGACGCUGAGGCGCGAAAGCGUGGGGAGCAAACAGGAUUAGAUACCCUGGUAGUCCACGCCGUAAACGAUGUCAACUAGAUGCAGGGGGUGUUGAUCCCCUCUGUGUCGCAGCUAACGCAUUAAGUUGACCGCCUGGGGAGUACGGUCGCAAGAUUAAAACUCAAAGGAAUUGACGG